AUCGAGGCGGUGGACGCGCGGCGACGCGCCCGAGCGUCUCGCGGCGACGAGGUCGCGAAGCGCCGAUCGCUGCCUCGCGACCACCUCGCGCAGUCGACUCGCCUCCGCGGCCUCGGCGCGCAGCCACGCGAGCGCGGACUCCUCCCUGUUCGCUCGCGCGCGAGACGCGUCCGCGGACGACGUCAUGACGCGACGCGCCGCGCGCGUCCGACGAGUCGUCGUUCGGCGCGCGAGGACGACGACUGUCGCGCGACGACCACGGCGCUUUUGAACACUUCAUCAGAUAUCAGAAGACUGAUGCUGACUGGAUACUGGAUGCUGGUGCUCUUUGAAUUUUACAGUCGACGGCCGUUUCUGCAGGGAGUCGGUACAUGUACGGCGUAGUACGUUUUGUAUGAGAAAUAGUCAGAAAAUCGCGGUGGUACCAUCCUUUCCCACGGGCGUACUUUCGAAAGUACUCUUUUUUCCGUUGGGUUCCUAUGGUAAUAUGGGAUCCAACCUAAUUCGACUCGCGCGUGGGUUGGGCUCUCGGGGCAUGGAAAACGGAUUCCAAAGCAAUGGCGCGGUCGUCUGUGACGGGGGACGACCUCCCGCGAUGCAAGAUCAGGCUGUGAACCCACGAGGCGCUAUAAGUCGGGUGUCGCGUCCACGCCAUUCCUUGGAUUCGGCACCUGAAAAUAGCUCGCACGAGCUUUUCACGCCUCCUGUCCAACCCCGAACGCGACGGACUCGAGAGGAGGUAUACGGGAGCGUUCCGACGCGGAGUUUGCCGCGCAGGCGUGCCGCAGAGGUACUCCGUCCCGACCCGACGCCGAUGCCCAUCACGCAAGGGCGGCGCCUUCGUUACGGUCCCACACAUCUCACUGAGGCGGACAAGCUCAUGUUCAUCAUGGCAGUUGAAGAAGGGGUGAGGCGAGGGGUACCGAAGGCGAAGACGACGGAGGCGUGGGGAUUGAAUAAAAACGCGUAUUCUGUUUACAAGAAGCAAUACGAGGACGGCGACCUCGAGCCUAAGAAGAUCACCGGGCGGCCGCCGGAGUUCAACGAGGAAGUACGGAAGUACGUGUAACAAGUUACACAUAGAUACGUGUACACGUACUGUAGGGCCUACGGGUGCUGUACACGGACGUCAAUAAAACACUCAUCCUUACUGUAUUUACAAUCGUAUGUACAAUGUUUGUUCAGAUUAACUUCUUGGGUUGGGCCGUCGCGCGCGCGCGCGCUCCGGUCUCGUUCUGUCUCGAUUCAUCGCUCGGCGCCCCCGUCGAACGGAUUCGCGCCGCCGAACCGAUUUUUUUUGCCCCCCGCCCGGGUCGGCGUCGGCGACGACGGCGGGGACAGCGCGACCGUCUCGCCGCUCGGCGCGAGGGGCGGCAGGCCGCCGCCGUACUCGCGCGGCGGCGGCGGCGGCGGUAACUCGGGCGACUCAGACCGCGGCGCGUGCGCGUGCGGCGCGCGGUUGGACGCCAAGGCGGCCGUCACCGCGUCGGCGACGGUUCUCGCGAACUCGGCGCGUUCGCAUUCUCGUUCAUCGAUCAUGCGCCCGAAGGGGUUCCGCACGUCCACGGCCACCGCGGGCGGCGGCGGCAGCGGCGGCGGCUUCGGCUUUUCUGGCGCGCUCGGGCGCGUGAUCUCCACGACGCUCGCCGACGUCGGGUCGGCGAACGCGAGGUUCCGCAGCCGCUCGUACCGCCGCCGGUGCGUGAAGCGUCGGUCGCAGAGGUAACACGCCCACGUGCAGAGCAUCAGGGCGAAGAGCACGGAGACGAGGAUGAGGAGCUGCGUCGCGGUGACGACGUCGGAGGAUCCGUCGUCGUCCGUCGAUCCGAAGCGUUCGUUCACUCCAAAGGUGCACGCCUUGUUGGCCGCGUUCCACCCCGCGGUGUAGUUACACGUGCGGUGACCGUAGGUCUUCGAGAGGUCGAGGGUGAAAAAGUCGCGCGAGUCUUUGCGACCGAACCCGCGCAUGGAGUGAUACCCUUUGAGGAAGGUGUCGUCGUGCACGGCCCACAUCAUCUCGUUUUCGCCGCCGAAGUUCAGCGGCACGCAAACUUUCGUGGGCGCGCCGAAGACGACCGCCGUGUGGCACAACUUCGUCGUGGUGAAAUCCAUGUAGCUGUGACAGCUCGUGACCGUCAUCGCGCUCGCGUAGUCGACGGCAGCUCCGGUGCCGUACCAGUGUCGAAACGCGGAACCGGUGGCGUGAAUGUGGUACCCCUUGACGCCGGUGCCGACGACGGGCGAUCCGAAGACGUUCGGGUCGUUCGCGUCGGCGUACGGAUCGUUGACGCCCAUGAUGACCGGAGCGUCGUUCAUGCCGUUGUGCUCCGCCGCCGGGUUUUUGCUCUUCAAGCCGACGGCGAGAUAUCCGACGACGCCAUUGAAGGCCAUUCGAGCUCGCCACCUUCCCGAGGGAAGCACGUCCCACAUCAGAUAGAGUUUAUCUCUGACGAGCUCGAGGCUGUUCGCGUAGGACGGGACGUCGACGGCGUCGUAGAAGCUCGACUCCGUGCACCGCGCGGUCGCGGGGAUCUUCGGAGGGUCCGUGAUCGGCUUCGUCGUGUUGUUGUUCGCCGUGGAGACGCACUCGGGGUAAAAGUCGCCGUGGCCGUUGGCAUCGGUCCAUAUUUGGCCGCGCGUGUUGACGCACUGCUCGUGUUGGCCGGAGGCGCACGUCAGCGCCGACGUGGACAUGCACCGCAUCCAGCAGUAAAUUUCGUUCGCCGCGCACGCGGCGGCCAAGAGCUUACGUCCGCCGCCGCCGCCGCCGCCGCCGCCGCCGCCGCCGCACGCGACCGACAUCGCGCCGGAACGCGCGUCGGCGACGAGCGCGUCGCGGAGCUCGCCGAAAGACACGCCGCGCGCCUCGUCCAUCAGGGCGUCUCGAGGAGGCAAGAACAUGCGACCGUACCAGAAGCGCGAUCGACCGUCGCCGAGCGCGGGCAUCGUCACGGCGUGCGGCACCGCUCGCAACCCGGACUCGAGUUUUUCUCCAAUCUGGUGCUCCAUCAUGUCGCCGAGCGCGACGAUCACGACGUCGUCGUCGAGGUUCUCGUGGUCGAGACGCACGCGGCGUCCGUUCGGGGGCAGGGACAUCUCGAACUCUCCGGGAGAGCUCUCGGCGUCGACCGUCCCGGGGGCGUCGUCGCCGCGUCCGUCCGAGACGACGACGGCCGGCGUGAAGGCGAUGAACAGACCGUGAUCGGUGUGCAACUCGAUCGUCUUCUUCUUCGUCGUCGCUUCUUCUUCGGACGCGGACGCGCGCGAGGAGGGAGACGAGCGAUAGGCGUGAAAGUGUUCGAGGUGCGUCCCUCCGUCGAGGAUGUCGCCCACGGACGCAUACUUCGACGCGCCGCCGUCGCCGUCGCCGUCGCCGUCGCGCCCUCCCGCCGCGGCCGAGGUCGACGCGGCGCGCAGCAUGACGGCGUCCCGGCCGUCGAUGAGCUUCGCGAAAUCGCCGACGCUCAUCGCUCGCGCGACGAGCGCGGCGGCGACGGAGACGAGCGAUCGAAGUUCGCUCGACACCGCCUCGAAUCGCGCGCAGACGUCGACCGCGCCGUGGUCGAUCUUCUCGCCGACGACGCCGGCGGCGGCGCCGCGCGUCGUCGUCGCGAGCGUGUGCCGAUCGGCGCCGUCUUCGUACGUCUCGACCUGCGCGUUCGGAGACGCCGCGACGCACGGCGCGAACAACGCCGCCGCGCGCUUUUUCGCGUCUCCGAGCCCCGGGACGAGCACGCCGGCGACGCCGUCGCGCGCGAGCGCGCGCGAGAGCGCGCGCUCGCGGCGGCGACGAUCGCCGUCCGCGUCGUCGUCCGCGGCGGCGCUCGCGGUCACCGUCGUCGGCGUCCACGCCGGGACGUCGUCGCCGAUCGCGUCGAUCGGCGGCGGCGGCGGCGGCGCGCGCGGCCGUCGCGGGGGCUCGACCGCCGCGGAGGCGGAGGCGGCCGCGGCGGCGGCGGGCGUCGCCGCGCACGCCGCGAGGAUCGCGACGCAGCACGCGGCGAUCGUCGCCCUCCGGGGAGCGCCCGCCGCGGAUCCUCGUCCUCGCCCGCGCGCGGGGGGAGACGCGUGGGCGGGCAUGGCGCGAGGGUAAUUCAUGCUUUUGAUCGACCGAGAUAAAAUUGGAUAAAAUUGCGAUCUGCAUCUGGAUUUCCGGUUCGGCGCCUAGCUACGUGUAGGUCGACGUGUACGUGUACAGCUGUACACGUGUAGGGCUGUGUACAUACACAUAACUUUUACCUGACUGUACGCCCAGUACUUCUGUCGUGUACACGUACAGUACUGUACGUGUACUGGAAGAAGGCUGGCUGGGACGACACGAAGAAGGUGCUCGACGAGGGGUUGGCGGCGACGAAACGCGAGGUGGUGGCAACAAACAAUGUUAGAAUGUUAUUGAAGCUUCAAGUAAAAUAUAAUAUGGUGUCAAUAUAAUAUGGUGUCUCGACGGCUCGAGGUGUCGGCCGGAGGAACUGUCGCUCGACAUCAUGACCAUUCCUUCCAUCGGCAGAGCCUCUUCCCGUGAUAUGUACAGGUUGACUGAUAGACUGACAGAUAGCGGUAACACGUUCUCUCGUGAAUUCAGCAAACUUCUUCGCUCUCACGUUUACUUCCUCGGCGGCGGUCGACCGGCAGUCGUGUCUUCUUCGUCGCCUCGGCAACAAAACACGCGAGUGACGAACGGAACGAUCUGGAGUAUGACCAUCAAGAACAGCGAAACGAUACCAAAAGACAACGACAUCGCCUGGAGGACCGUGUACGAUCGUUCGCGUUCGCAUCGGUACGGAAAGUUCUCCCGCGUCCAGCCGCACAUCCCGGACUCGCCGAGCUGAAUGUACAUCUCGGUGAAUGCGGUGAUGACGUCCGACUCGCAUUUACUGGCCGCGUUGGUGUAGAUGACGUGAAUCCCGGCGUCGUCCUUCUUCUGCGACGCGAUAACCGCGUUGGCGCACGCGCCGGCGAAAGUGGCCUUCGCGCUGGUGUACUUCGCGUCGAACGCGGCGUCCGUGUUGUUCGACGUCGGCGUGUCGGUCCAGUACUUGAACGGUUUAAGCGGGUACAGUUGGGUGGCUUCUUUGCCCCACGGGCGGAAGUGCACGCGCUGAGGGGCGUUCCAUGCGAAGCGACGUCGGGGUGGAGUUCAGGGGCGCGUCAGAUGGAGUUGAAAGGCGUCGAGGCGCGUCGGGAUUGAAACCGAGGGGCGGCGGGCGGAGAGAAACGCGCGCAGGCAAAAGUCCCUAAGGAACGGCGUGCACCGCGCGAACGCAGUCGUACGGAGACCAGUGCAAGGAGAACGCACCGCAUACGCGUUGUUGCUCUCGUACUUCCCCGCGUUGUUGUAAUUAUCGGGGGCGUCGCCGGUGAUCGACGCGGCGGAAGACGUCCACGACGCGGGGAGCACGGUGAAGUCGUCCAGUCCCGUGUUCGCGGUCGUCGGGACCUGCAAUUUCGCGACGCACUCCUCGUACGUCCAGUCUUGCUCGUACCAGGAGAUCUCCCUCUGCGCGGGGCGGCACGUGUACCCGGACUUUUGGUAGUUCGUGCUCUCGAUGACGACUUCGGUCCACGUGAAGGUGAGGUAGUACCACAUCAUCACCGCGAAGACGACCUCGAGCGCGACGACGAUGACGAAGAACAUGCCCAAGAUGAAACUGGGCGGCGCGAUGAGGUCCAUGACUUGCUCGACGUACAUCUUCUCCGGAAGCGGAACGCGGCCUUGGUACGUCUUCUCCGGCGGCGGCGGGGGUUUCUCCGGCAACGUGCGCGCCGGCGCCGGCGUCCGUCGUUUGGACCGACUAGACUUGAUGACGAGCGCCGCGGUGAAGCUCAAGACGACGAAGACGAGCUGCGCGAACGUGAACGAGAGCGACGCGCGCGUCAUGACGUCCAAGGUUUCGUCCUUGACGCACUCGUACGGCGCGUUUUCUUUCGCCCACAGGCACACGUUGUCGCCGAGGUCGUCCGCGAGGAGCUUCCACACCUCGACCGCAUUCGCCUUAUUCGCGUCGGUCCACGAAAACGUUGCUCCGGCGGUCACCUCGAAGUACGAAAUUCGCGCGCUCUGGCCGGCGCUGUUCACCAGCGAACGCGUCCCGUAUUCCUGGCCACCGGUCGCCCAGUUUUCGAUUCCCCACGAGUCGUACCCGUACGUCGUCGCGAGCGCGGGCUUCGUGUAGUUUUCCCACAUCUUGCUCUCGACGCCCUCGGUCGUGUAGGCUUUAAACGGCUGCCACUUCGCGUCGAAUCGCGUGUACGUGUUAGUUGCUCCGGUUCCAACGGGGCCCGUGUUUGUUUGGGAUGUGAAAUCGAUCGUGCUCGUGCUCGGCGCUUGCACGUUCGCGAGACACGUGGCGUAGUCCCACGUGAGGCCGUAGCCCAUGUCGUCUUGCGUCAGCGGCGUGCACGUGUACCCGGAUUUUUCCCAUUCCGAGGUGAUGAUCGUCUCUUUCAAGUUGUACUCGGACUGCGAGUACAUCGCGAAAAAUCCGGCAAAUGUGCCGAGCGUCAAGACCGCGAUGCAGAUGGCGACGAAGGCGAUGGUCGCGUCGCUCGAGAUGAACUUGAUCUCUUUCGGCUCGUCGUAGAAUUCCGUCCAAAGCGGGAGCUUCUUCACCCAGUGGUCGAAUUUACGCUUGUCCCUUAAAAUGUAGGAGACGACGCCGAUGAGGAUCGUGAAGAGGAGCGCGGCGUUACCGUUGGCCAGGGAUAUGAUCUGCACCCACGGCAUCUGUUCGGUUUUCUCGCACGUGUACGGCAGGUUGCUGGCGGCGAAGUCGCACACGUCCCCGACGCCGUCGCCGUCCACGUCCGCGUACACGAAAUUAAUGAUCUUGUUGAAGCAGUCCACCACGAGCUGCUUAUCCGCCGCCGACGACGCGACGGUGGCGGAGCCGGCCUCGACGUAUAUGCCCUUGUCGUCGCUCGUGUAGUCGCUUCGCUCCGGGUCCAACGUGUGGCCCCCGCUCGCAGCGGUGCACGAGAGCGUGUCGAGCUCCGCUUUUCUCGCGUUCGGCUCCUUCGGCCACAAGAGUUCCUUGUACUGAGAGCCGCCGAACGGGUGAAAGUAGUAUUUGGAGUUUUCAAAGACGAAGUUAUCGAAUGUCACCUCGCGCACGUACGCCGGGCACUCGGCCACGGUGUACCCGAGUCGAUAGUAGGAGUCCGCGGCGACGGGUUUGCAGUCGUACCCGGAGAUGCUCGUUCGACUGCCGACGAUGACGUCCGUGACGUGUUGCGCGGAGAGCUGAUAGUACCACAUCGCCGCCGCGAACGCGAUCAGGACGACGGCGUAGACGAACGAGGACGCCGUGGCGACGAUUCCGACCCUGGCGAUCGUGGGGAUGGCGUCCGCGCGGUCGUAGAAGUACUCGGGGACGAUCGGGUCGAUGAGGCUGAAGAACAUUCCGGAGAGACAUCCGCGGCGACCAUCUCUCGACGACAUCGUCUCGCGACGCGUCGAGUUUGCGCGCAGAGGUCUCGCGCCGUCGUCGGGUGUUCCUCGCGCUUCCUCGCGAGUCGAGCUCUUUCGCCUCGUGACGUGCUGCUAGUUGGACGCGAGUGGCGGACGCGCGUGAGCGGCGAUGCGGGAACUUGCGUUCGCGUGGCCACGAUACGAUCCGUGAUCUACCCUACCCGGGUUGGUGUAUACACGAGCGGCGGAUGCGGGGAGCGGCGCGUUUGUUUGUCCGAGGGGUCUUAGGGCAACGACCUGGGUUCGUGCGUUAUCUCCUUUUCGUGUGAUUUUCUCAGAUAAGUUAAGGUUACAGUACGCUUCGUACUUUCGUACGAAAGUACGAAAGUACUUUCGAAAGUACUUUCGUACUUUGUACUUUCGAAAGUACAAGUACUUUCGUACGUGGUAGGAUACUCUACGGUUUACGCCUACACUACGUGUACACGUACUGUACGUGUAAUCAGAUACACACACUGUACGUGUACUGUAGGGCUACAGCUACAGUACGAGUACAAUAUCCAUCUGAUAAAGAAUCUUUGAGGAAGGUAAAUCUUUCGGAUAGUCCCGUUCAGGGACGGAAUUCCGUCCCUUUCCGGGCGAAAAACUGAGAAUUUUCCCUAUGGGCAAUCAGUUGGAGUACGAGUAGUUUUCCGCUCCGUACUCAUUUUUUGGUGAUUUUCCGCCGAUUUUCCGUCGAAAAACGGCGGAAAUUCGGCACUUGUAACCAAUUGCCCACAGGGAAAAUUCUCAGUUUUUUCGCCGGAAAGGGACGGAAUUCCGUCCCUGAACGAGACCUAUCGGAGCGGGGCUGCGGAGGUGUCAUUGUCGUGCUUCGCGAGAGCGAGAGCCGCGCGCGCGGACGCGGCCGCGGUGCGACCCGGGGCGAUGCGGCGACCCGCGCUUCGCCCGGGCCCGCUGCUCGCGAUCGUCCUGACCCUCGCGUCCGCGGCGACGCCGCGCGCGUCCGCGGCGAGCGCGUGCUCCGUCGCCGCCUCCGGACGACCCACCGCGAAGGGUUUCGCGUGCGAGGUCGCGCUCGAUCCGUCCGCGACGCUUCACUGGACCGUCGGCCCGGCGCCCGCGACGGACGGCGUCGCGGCCGUCGCCGCCGACGACGUGUCGUUCGCCGUCGUCGCCGACGCCGCGAGCGGCGUCGUGGGGCUCUCGUUCCAGAGCGGCCCCGUCAUGGUCCCCGCGCGCGCGGUGAUGUCGACCGUCGACGCCGCGGGCGCCAACGCCGACGUCGCCGCGUACGCGCUGAACGGAUACAACGCGGCGGGGGUCGCCGCGGACGCGACGUUCGCGCUGUCCUCCGCCGCGGUCGCCGUCGAGGCGGGCGUCACGACGCUCGCGUUCGUCGCCGCGAAGUCGACCGUCGGUCUCGAGCGAUUCCGAGGCGCGUCUACCCUGCGCCGCGUGACUGGUCCCCAUACGACCGCGUUCGCGCGGCGCGCGCCGUUCCUCGAGGAUUCUCGCCGUCGUCUCUCCGCGUCCACCCCACGCUUUCAAUCCCUACGCGCCUCGACGCCGCCUCGCGGCUCCGACUGACGCCCGUCGACGCCUCACGUCCGCCCCGACGUCGCCUCGGGCUUCGGUUUGGCGUCGUCGUCGUCGUCGUCGUGACUGGUUCCCAUACGACCGCGUUCGCGUGGUGAACGCCGUUCCUUAAGGACUUCUCUCAUAAUCUUCUCAUGAUCAUCGCCCUCAGACGCCGCGGGAUACGUCGGUUGGUCGCUCGCCGCCGACCCGGAUCGCUCGCGAGUGCACGACCGCGCGGGCGUCGCGCUGAUCGAUCUCAACUCGGGUGUGUCGUCGCCGGUGAACGCGCUCGGGCUCGACCGAGUGAAGACGCACGCCGCGCUGGAGGUAGUCGGCUUCGCGCUCAUGCUGAUCGGAUCGCUCGCGGCGGCGCACAAGAAGCGAAUGCCCGGAGGCGCGAGGGGCUCGCUGUGGAUCCGCGCCCACCGCGCGGCGCAGCUCUCCGGUCUCGUCUUGGCCGCGGCGGGUAUGAUAGUCGUGGUGUCGCGAGAGGACGACGAGACGAGCGAGCCGUUCGACUGGGGGAAGGCGACGGCGACGGCGGCGUACAAGGCGCGUUUGUUUUUCACCCGCCGCGCGCUCGGUUUCAACAGUUUCAACGGUUUCAACAGUUUCAACAGUUUCAGCAGUGCAGUUUCAACAUUCUGUUCGACCGCGCCCGCCCCUUUCCUCUCGUCGACUGACCGAUGAACCGAACGAACGCAUUCUCGCGCGGCCGGCGUCGCCCUCAGGCGCACGGCGCGCUCGGCGCCGCGCUCGGCGCCGCGGCGCUCCUCAACCCCGCGCUCGCGUAUUUUCGCGAACCCCCCCAACCGAGCGCGAAGCCCAAGCCGAAGCGCCUCGCUCACGCGCUGCUGGGCUGGAUCGUCGUCAUCGGCGGCGGCGCGAACGUGGUCCUCGGGAGACACGCCGCGGCGGAUUCAAAGUACGACGACGUCCUCGACGAGAACGUCUCGCUCGCGCAGGAGGCGGCGGGGUGGACGAUCGCGGCGGUGGGCGUCGUCGGGCUCCUCGCGUCGAUCUCUUCGCGCGGCGGCGGCGGCGGGCGGCGACGGUUCACGUCUAGCGACGGUUUGAAUUCCAAUUCCAAUUCGGAGACGACGACCGCGUGGCCGUCGAUGACGAAGGAGGACGUCGCGCGAUGCGAGCUGUAUUUCGACCACGUGCGCGACGACGGAGCCGGAGCCGGAGACGGAGACGUCCCGCGCGCGAGAGAGAGUCGCGUCGUGGAGUUUCUCAUGAAGUCCGGCCUCCCGCUCGCGACGCUCCGAGACGUGUGGACGCACAUAGAGGCGGAGACGGACGCGGACGGCGGCGUCGCCCGCAUCGCGUUUUCCAAGGCGUUUUACCUCGCGGAGAUCGCGACGAGAGGCGCGACGAUACCGCCGCGGGAGGAUCCGACGGAUUCGAAGAUCCCGUGGCCGCGCGUCCUCGCGGAGCUCGAAUCUGACGAAUCCGAUCGCGACGAGCGAUGGCCCGCUAUGACCACCGAGGACGCGGCGCUCAAGAUGCGCGCGUUCGACGCGUUGGCGCGUCGCGCCGGCUCCGGCACCGGCGACGCCGCGGCGACGCUCGAACCACGCGUCGCGAGAGACGUCUUCCUCGAGUCCGGCCUCCCCGAGAGCGUUCUCGCCGACGUCUACGACGCCGCGGACGAGGACGGAGACGGCGAGCUGUCGCUCUACGAGUUUUCGUGCGCGAUGUACCUCGUCGAGCGCGCGACGAGAGGCUGCGCGCCGCCGCCGUCGGCGUCCGCGCUGCCCGUCGAGACCUUCGCGAGCGUGCGCUCGGCCAUCGAACGAAGACGUUCCAAACCAAGAAGUUAAUUCGACAAACGGGUACUGUACUGUACUCGUACGUGUACGGAAGUACUUUCGUACUUUUUAGUACCUCACGAUAAGUUGUUACUCAUAUCAUAUGUAUGACAGAGCAGUCCAAAGUAAGGUUACAGUACGUGUAGUUAAGGUCACGCUCCGCUAAUUAAAUUUCCCGUGCCAAAAGUACGAAAUUGAUACUGAAUACGCAUACAAAUUGCAAAAACGUACUUUCGUACGCGCCCACGCGCCGUCGCUGCGCGGAUUGAUUUGAAACUUCGUCACGAUGUUGUCCAUCACGUCGCCGAUGCCUUCUCAAAGUUUCGCGAGUUUUAGAGGCCUGGAAGGCGGUUUUCGGACCCUAAGGACCUUUUUUACGACUUGUUGGCGGGCCGCGGGGUGUCCUUUCAUGCCCGUUAGGCCGCCGGCAGGGCCGGAUGCGCACGCGCGCGGCGGCCCUGAAGUUAGUACCUAUCGCGCCUAUCGCGCCUAUCGCGCCUAUCGCGCCUAUCGCGCCCGCGCGCCCCGCGCGUCGAAAACGCAUCUCGUCGCCUCCGCGUCGCACCCCUCGUACAGCGCCCUCGUCGCGCCGUGCGACGCGUCUGGAAAACACGCGCACCGCAUCCGCGUCCGCCCCGUUCCUCCCGGCGCGCGCGCGGGCUCGCGCGUCCUCUCCUCUCUCGGGUGCGACGCGCCGUCUUCGCACCACACCUCCGCGCGACCGUCUGACGAGGGCGAUCGGAUCGCCCGCGCGACGGGGCGGCGUUCGGGGGGCGCACGGGCGCACGUCAGACGGAGGCGUCGCGAGGCGGGCGGCAAAAGUCCUUAAGGAAUGGCGUUCACCACGCCGACGCGGUCGUAUGGGGACCAGUGUACGGCCGCGCGCGCGUCGGGAUCGAAACCGAGGGGCGGCGAGCGGAGAGAAACGCGCGCGGACGGGAAGAGAAAGUCCGUCCUCGAGGAACGGCGUCCACCGCGCGAACGGGGUCGUACGGGGACUAGUGUGUUGAGACGGGACGCGCCCGAGCGCGUUUUCCUCGCACACGUCCGCCACAGCGCUUCUCUCGCGCUGUCGUCGCGCGCUCUUCCCUCGGCGCGAUUCGCCGCGGCGUCGAAGGCGAGCUUGCGGCGCGUCUCGACGCCGUUCGCGUCGUAGUAGUGUCCUCCCGCGAGCACGCCGAUCUCGCGGUACGCGUCUCUCUCUUCACUCCCCCCCUCGUAGAACUCGAGCCAUCGCCGAACGCCCAGGAUUUCGUCGUCGGAGAGGCCGUCCACGUCCGGGACGAGCCCGUCCUCGUCGAAUCGCCCCGUCGCGAACGCGCGCGUGCCGUCGCGCCCGACGAAGCCGGCGUAGGGCAUCCCGCGCGCGUAAUGCCGCGCGCCGCCGCCUCGCGUCACGUCGAAGACGCGCCCGACGAUCGCGAGCCAGAGCGACGGGUCGUCGACGCCGUUCCGCGUCGCGAGCUCGUCGGGCGUCACGAGGCGGGUCGCGGGAGUCGUCGUCGUCGUCGCCGCCGGCGCCGGNNNNNNNNNNNNNNNNNNNNNNNNNNNNNNNNNNNNNNNNNNNNNNNNNNNNNNNNNNNNNNNNNNNNNNNNNNNNNNNNNNNNNNNNNNNNNNNNNNNNNNNNNNNNNNNNNNNNNNNNNNNNNNNNNNNNNNNNNNNNNNNNNNNNNNNNNNNNNNNNNNNNNNNNNNNNNNNNNNNNNNNNNNNNNNNNNNNNNNNNNNNNNNNNNNNNNNNNNNNNNNNNNNNNNNNNNNNNNNNNNNNNNNNNNNNNNNNNNNNNNNNNNNNNNNNNNNNNNNNNNNNNNNNNNNNNNNNNNNNNNNNNNNNNNNNNNNNNNNNNNNNNNCGCGAGCGCGUCGCCGUCCGAGAAGAAGAUCCUCGUCGCCUACCAGGGCGUUCCCGGCGCGUACAGCGAGGCCGCGGCGCUGGAGGCGUACCCGACGUGCGAGCCGCGGCCGUGCGAGCAGUUCGAGGACGCGUUCGAGGUGCGCGCGCUCCCCGCUCCGCGCUCCGCGCUCCGCUCGUCCGCGCGCGCGCGUCCGUCGUCGACCGUCCGUCGACGCGACGCGACGCGACGCGACGCGCGCGAUCGACGCGGUCCUAUCCUCGCGACGCGGACGCGACGCGACUCGGUCGCGCGCGUCCCCCCGCCGCCGCCGCCUCCGCCGUCGCCGCGCUUUCGCCCUCUCCGACGCGCCGUCGCCGUCGAUGUCGCCGUCCCACGCGCCCGCGCCCGCGCGGAUCCGACGCUGACCCCCGUUCGAUCGAUCGAUCCGUCGCGCGCGCGAUCGAUCGAGGCGGCGGCGGUGAGACUGCUUCCCAUACGACCCCGUUCGCGAUGUGAACGCCGUUCCUUAAGGACUUUCCCCGUCGUCACUCUUCACCCGCACUUCCCUUUCAACGUACGUUUGACCGGUAAGACGUUCGACUGACCGAUCGCUUCACCCACCACGCUGACCUCCGCGUCGUCGAUCGAUCGAUCGUCGAAUCGAAUCGAAUCGAAUCGAAUCGAAUCGCAUCGCAUCGAAUCGAAUCGCAUCGAAUCGCAUCGCAUCGCAUCGAAUCGAAUCGCAUCGCAUCGCAUCGAAUCAGUCCACGGAGCAGUUCUCGACGGACCGCGCGGUGCUUCCCUUUGAAAACUCCCUCGGCGGGAGCAUCCACCGCAACUACGACCUCGUGCUGACGCACCGGCUGCACAUCGUCGGCGAGGUGUACUUCAAAGUCCGACACUGUCUCCUCGCGCUGCCGGGGCAGGAGAAGAGCGCGCUGACCAGGUGCGUUCUGCGCGUGUCGCUUUCACCCAUCUCCCCUCGGUUUCAUCGUCUGAUCGCGUGGGUCCCUUUCAACUGACCGAUGAACGUGUUUCGUGUGGAACGGCCCUCGCCAGGGCGCUGUCGCACCCGCAGGCGCUCUCGCAGUGCGACGGGUACCUCACGAGACUAGGUGGGUGGGCGCGUCCUAGCAACGUUCGUUCGUUCGUUCGUUCGUUCGUUCGUUGGCGCGGCGCGCGCCGUUCCUCGAGGAGGACGGACUCGACGCACUCUUCCCGUCCCGUCGUUUCUCUCCGCCCGCCCGCCCGCCCGCCCGCCGCCCCGCGGUUUCGAUCCCGCCGCCGCGCCGCGCCCGCCAAUACGCCCGCGCGUCCGCGCCGCCUCCGUCUGACGAUUCGAUUCGAUUCGUUUCGUUUCGAUUCGAUCGAUCCGAUCUUCUCCCUCAGGCGUGGUGAAGGAGGAGUUCGACGACACCGCGGGCGCGGCGGCGCACAUCCAACGCGAAGGCCUGUUCGGGCACGCCGCGAUCGCGUCGCGUCGCGCGGCGGAGUUGUACGGGAUGCACGUGUACGACGAGGACAUUCAGGACGACGAGUCCAACGUGACUCGGUUCCUGGCGCUCGCGCGCGAGCCGCUUCCGCCGCGCGAGGGCGUGCCGUACAAGACGUCGAUCGUGUGCAGCCUGCGAGAGGGCAGCGGCGCGCUGUUCAAGGCGCUGUCGUGCUUCGCGCUGAGAGACAUCAACCUCACGAAGGUGGAGUCGCGGCCGAUGCGGUGGAACCCGGUGAGCGGGUCUCGAAAGGAUGGCAGCGGCGGGAUGCAGUUCAUGUACUUGUUCUACGUCGACUUCGACGCGAGCAUGGCGGACGAGAACGCGCAGAACGCGCUGAGGCAUCUGCAGGAGCAGACGACAUUUUUUAGGGUGCUCGGGAGUUACCCCGCGGACGACUCGACGCUGCCCGCGUGACGACGCGAAGGACACGCGACGCGACGCGACGACGGGGACAGGGACGGAUGCUAUUAUUUUAUACACUGGUCCCCGUACGACCACGUCGGCGUGGUGAACGCCGAUCCUUAAGGACUUUGCCCGGCGCAUCUCUCCGUCCACCCCACGGUUUCAAUCCCCUACAGUAGAGCGAGGAAGAAGGUUCAUCGCCGCGUCAUCGUUCGGAGGCGAAGAGCGUUCUCUCUCUCUCGUUCGUCGUUCGACGUCUCGACGCCUUCCCCCCAUCCCCCGACGCCGUAUUCUCUCACGCGCGCGUUCUGUACAAGUGUAGUGUGGAAGUACUUCCGGAAGUACGAAAUCCAACUACGUGUAAACUAGCUAUAAGACAGACCUAGCUAGCUAGUAAUCCCUGACGGUCUUCUCCUCGCGGCAAAAUCCCCGCCCGCGCGCCGCCGCCACCGCGGCGAUGGACGCGAUCGCGAGCGCCCACCCGACGGCGGAGAACGCCGAGGCGUCCUCCCCGGUCUGGUCGUUCAGCAGGGACGCGCCGACGACGACGUUGGUCGAGCCACCGAGGACGACGACCCAUCCGCCGACGACGUGCGCGCGACGCGGCGCGGACGUCUUCGGCGGCGGCGGCGGCGGCUGCGCUUCGCGCGCGAGGAGCUCGCCGCCGCCGCCGCCGCCGUCGUCGCCGUCGUCGUCGUCUCUUGCGUGCUUCUUCUUCUUCUUUUUAUCGUUGCGCAUCGCGUACGCGAACGCCGCCUGCAGCGCGGGCGCGCACGCGACGAUCAUCCCCAGCACCCCGUGCGCUUUGACGACGCCGUCCGCGCCCUCCCACGCGAACGGAUCGUAGGUUCGACCGGUGAAGAUCUCGACGAGACCGGCGCACGCCAGCCCGACGCCGACCGCGUGCGCGGUCACGUGCGCGUAGAGCCACGUCUUGGUUUCGCCGCCGGCCCAUGGCAUCCACGACGCCUUCUUCGUCAGCGCGAUCGCGCUUCCGAGGAAGAAGAACGCGAACGCCGCCGUCAUGAGCGCGCCGUGCGUCUCGAGCGCGACGUCCGUGUGGCUGUCUGAGGGCGCGGGCCGUUUCGUUCCGUCGGUCGGUCGAAAUGGAACGCGAUCAAAUCUGACGUCGAAACCGAGGAGGGGAAGGGCCAUGCGGAGAGGGGCGGGCGUAAGACGUUUGCGAACGAACGAACGAACGAAUGAAUGAAUGACGAAACGCACGCACCCGCGUUCCCGGUGAGGUAGUUGAGAUACACCGUGCCCUUCGAGACGUCGUGCUUGACGUUCGCCUUCGAGGUCGCUCUCGCCCACCCGACGUACCCGAGACGAUGCGCGUCGUCGGUCAUGACGGCCGAGCGCGUCGUCGCGAACGAGAUGAUCGUGACCCCGCCGGACUUGGUCACGGACGAGGACGACAGCGCGAGCCCGCCGCUGCUCGGCGUCGACCGUGACGUCAUCGCGUACGGCCCGAUCGAGCCGCCGCUUCCGUCGGCGUUGAUCCACCCCAGCACCGCGUUCGCGGGCGACAUGGCGUGCGCCGAGGGGAACGACACGCCCACAAUGCCGUCGCUCGUCCCCGCGAGCGCGAUCGCGAUGUCGCCGUCCGCCACCGAGGCGACCUGCGACGUCGCGUCCGCGGGGCCGAGCGUCCAGUGGAGGUUCAUCCCGCUCUCGAGAGCGACCGAGCACGCGUAUCCGAUGGAGGACGUCGCGCACGCGGCUCCGCCGCCGUCGGCGUCCGCGCCGCGCGCCGCGAGGACGAGGACGAGGACGAGGAGACGGGCGAACAUGACGCGCGCGGUCUCGCGGUGCCUCCUUCGGCGUUGUGAACGAGAAGAGCAAAGGUCUACGAAGGUACUUUCGUACCUUCGAAGGUACUUUCGCGUACGAAAGUACAUGUAGCCUACUGUACACGUGUAGUUGUAGAACAACCUUUCUCGAAAAGUACUUUCGAAAGUACUUUCGUACCUUCGUACGAAAGUACUUUCGUACGAAAGUACGAAAGUACCUUCGUACAAAGUACUUUCGUACGAAAGUACUUUCGAAAGUACUUUCGUACUUUCGAGAGUACAUCACUAGUUGAUUCAAAAGCGGCAUUGAAAGCAGGAAGUGUUUCGUAGACGUAAUCAACGUUCAUCGCACCGUCCCCGUACCCGACUUUGUAUCCAAAGAAGGUGGGUUUGUUCACCGCACCGAGAUCCCCUUCGUCAAGUGUUAAUAAGUGGCCUGCGUAGAAAGUACAGUACUUUCGAAAGUACUUUGUACGAAAGUACUUUCGUACUUUCGUACUUUCGUACGAAAGUACUUUCGUACGAAGGUACGAAAGUACUUUCGUACCUUCGUACGAAAGUACAACUACUUUCGUACGAAAGUACAACGUACGUGUACGUGUACACGUACAGUAGGCCCUUGUGUAGAUCUGAUUACAAAAAGACUGAGCUCUAACCCUACGUGUACACUACUGUAGAUCUGAUUACAAAAAGACUCAGCUCGACAGUAACGUUGUACGGGCGGUUGUAACGCGGUGUACGUGUACGUGUACGUGUACAGCUGUACACGUAGCACUCACGUAGCCCCUGCCUACAGUACACGUACGUGUACCAGUCGUGUACCUAGAGAACGGAUGGCACGUACCAUCUCAUGCUGAAGAUGGACGAGUGAACGCACGUCACGAGAGCGAAGUCUCGAAAGAAUCGCGCUCGCGGCUGAGCUCCGAAGAAGGAGAGAUGGAAUAAUAUUCAUGUUCGUAUUUAUACCGCUCGCGCUCGGACGGUCGCGUCGCGUUCCCGCCCCGCGCCCUCAGCUCCCUCGCUCGCUCGAUCCGAUACCCAACGCCCGAAGAACCCCCGUCCAAUCUUCCUCCUCCGCCUCCUCCUCCUCCUCCUCCUCGUCGUCGUGUCGUCGCGUCGUCGCGGCGGAUCCUGAUCAGUGCGCGGCGUGAUACGUGCCGACAGCCGGCGGCAUCGACUCCGGGGUCUCGAGCACGACGUCGCCGCCGCGCAGCGCGAAAAGCUGCCUCGGCGCAGGCGGAGGGCAAUCCUCGAGCAGGUUGAUGUCGUGCCUCUGCCCGUUCACGACGACGUACAUCGACGUGGGGCAGAUGUACUCCAUGUUCGGGUGCCACUCGUCCAGGGUGUGUCCGUACGAGUGAAUCUGCACGCCGGUGACCACGGCGAAGUCAGCCUUCCCCGGGUCCACGGACGCGCGGACGAGCGCCUCCAUGUCCUGCUGGAUCACGCUGUCAGCGAGCUUCGUGACUUGGACGAGGUCGAACCCCUCCGCGGGCACCUCGGACGGCUGCACCGCGCGGAGCAUCCUGGACUCGAGAAGCGAGUACUCGGGAUCCAUCGCGUCGCACGACCCGACGGGCCGGAUCUGCAUCCCGCCCGCCCUCAGCUCCGUGAACUUGGGCUGGAGCUUGAUGAGCGCGCCGCACGCGUGCGAGCACCCCGCGCGACCCGCGCGGAUGCAGUCUCCCGGGUUGCCCGCGGAGUCGACGGCGAUGUGCGGCAUGGCGAAGAACACGUACCGUUCCUUCCCCGUCUGCCACUCCGUCGGGGAGUGCGACAUGCCCGCGCCCAGGCCCGUGAGACCCGCGGCGGUGAACCCGGCGAGGCCGUCGACGUCCAUGGCGUAUCCGAACAUCUCGUGGAUGCCGUUCUUCAGCGGCGCGGUGAUCUCGUCGCGGCAAAAGUUCGUGUGCGCGAUCGUGUUAUCUCCGGUGAAUCCGAACUGACGCGGGGCGGGGGCGGCGGGAGGGGGAAGUGGUUCGCGGUUCGCGUCGCUCGGGGGUCAGUCGUCUGCGAUCGGCGCGUCGUGCGGAUCGCGGCGGGCGACGACGGGGGUCGGCGGGGUUCGAUCGAGCGGCAUCGAGGGCGAGGGUCGUCGAGGGCGGGCGAGGGAUGCGCAGAGCGAGGAACGCGCGCGACGUCGAUCGAUCGAUCGAGUCGAUCCGAUCCAUCUGUCGAGGUUUCGCGCACCUGCGCGAGCUUGUUCUCGACGCGGAAGAGCCAAUCGUCCAUGCCGAUGCUCCCGCGGAAGUGGUGCUGCACGUUCGCGGUGCGCUUGUCGUAGUACGCGUGCCUGCGCGCGCGCUCGUCCGGGAGCGUGUCCAGGCCCGCGUGCUUCAUGUACUCGGGGCCGUGGUGCUCGUUGUACGAGUCGUGCUUCGUGCGCGCGUUGUUCUUGAAUCCCGCGGUGCGGCCCGAGGCGCGAACGACGACGACGGACGUGCGCGCGCCGCGACGCGUCUUGACGUCCGCGCGGAGGGACGCGACGGAACCGAAUGCGGCGCUCAUGGAGAUGGCCAUUGUCGUUGAGAGAUCGGCGGUGCGUGUGAUGCGUGACGCGUCGCGUGGUGUGAGGGUUCCGCGCGGAUCCUGCGCUCAGGUUUUACCCAGCUCCGUGAUGACUCGGCAGAUGGGGAUAAGGCUCUCAGCAGUUGCCAUUUUCCGAAUAGACCAGUUGCGCUAACUCGAUCAGACUAAAAAACCAUAGAAGCCGAAACGCCGCGACGUAUCCGAGAAUGGUGACAGAUGACUCGGGAUCCAAGAACUGACCUGCGCUACUCGUACACUGUAAGUUGAACUUAGUGUACAGUACACGUAGUCACGUACAGUACACGUUACUGUACGUGUACGUGUACGCGCUACGAUUUUGGCAAAAAAAAAAUCGAUACUCGUACCCUAAUAACACUAUCGGCGGCGCUUCCGAGAUGCCGUCGUCGUCGUCGUCGUCGUCGUCGUCGUCGCUCGCCGCGAUGAUCCUCGCGCUGUUCCUCCUCCUCGCGCCGGCGUCCUCCGCGAGCGCGUCCGCGGCGUCGCCGGACCCGCUCCUCCUCCCGCAAGCCAACGCCGCGGACCUCGUCGCCGGGCGAGCGGACCGCGUCGUCGCGGCCGCGUUCGUCGGCGACGACGCCCCCGGCGCGAUGCUCGUCCGCGGGGUCCCGGGCUACGCCGCCGCGCGCGUCGAAGCGCUGCGCGUCCUCGCGCGCUGCGCGACCGCGGACGACGCGCCGAUGCGCCGCGCCGCGGGCUGGGACGAGACGCACGGCGGCCGCGGCGCGUUCACGCGCGCGACGGUCGCGGCGCGAUCGAGCGCGCGGCUGCCGAGCGCGCUGGACGCGCGAUGCGGCGACGCGACGAUCGACGCGUUGGAGUCGCUGAGACGCGCCGCGGACGCGGCGGCGGCGGCGGCGCUCCCGAGACUGGACGCGGUGCUCGGGUACGACACCGGCGGGUUCUUCCGCGCGGCCGUGGACUCGGAGUCGUCGUUGGACCACUUCCACGUGUUCACGGCGAACGACCGGAGCGCCCCCGACGCCGGCGACGAAGAAGAAGCGUCGUUUUUUUCGGCGGCGGCGGCGGCGGCGGCGGCGACCGAGGAAGACGCCUCCGCCGCGGAUCCGCCGCCCCCUGAGGAUCCGAGCGCGCCGCCCGGACUCAGGGGGAAAGGCGAGCACACGGACGUGGGGAUCGCGAUCGUGAUGACCCCCGCGCUGAUGGUCUCUCCUGAACUCGAACUCGAAAGCGAGAGCGAGAGCGACGCGAGAGGCGCCCGCGGGUUGAAAAUCGGCGGUCGCUCGCCCGAGCUCCCCCCCGACGCGAUCGUCGUCAUGCUCGGCGAGGCUGCGCGCGCGUGGCUGCCGUUGCCGCCGCCGGGGGGCGAGGACGCGUCGUCGCCGUCGAAUUCGCCGCUCGCCGUGCCGACGCACGAGAUGUCUCUAGACGGCGGCGCCGCGUCUUCGCCCGGGACGUCGCGCGCGUGGUUCGGGCGGAUGAUCCUCCCGCCCCCGGACGCGAAGCACCCGACGGCGACGAGCGGCGACGGCGCGCCGCUGACGUUCGGGGAGUGGCACGAGAACGCCGCGGAAGCCUUCGGCGGCGGCGGCGGCGACGACGACGACGACGACGGGAGAGGCGUCUUGGCCGCCGCCGCGUGCGCGCCGCUUCCCCACCACGACGACGGCGCGCUGACGUCCAUCACGCGCCGCAGAAGACUCCAGGACGACAGCGGGUGCGCGGCCGGCAAGGUGUACUGCUGGUUGACGUGCGUCGACGAGCCCGCGGGCGGGUGCGCGUCCCCGGAGGUGGCCAAGUGCGUCAGCGGCGCCGGCCUCGUGUGGCCGGACCAGACCGGGGAGGGCCACUGCUACGACUGCAAGACCCAGUGCGUCGCCUCGGACUACGGGAAGGGGAACGACGGGGGUGGGUCCGGGGAGAUCUGCAACUCCAAGAUCGCGGGCACGUCCAUGUACAUGGACGGCUUUCUCGGGUGGGGGAAUGAGGACGGCCCGUGCGUCAUCUUUCUCGAGAAAAAUCUCAAGCUGUCCACCGUCGGCGAGCUCUUCGCAGCCUUCUUCGUCACGAUCGCGAUCGGCGUCGCCGUGGAGGCGCUCGCGGCGGCGCGGCGCAAGCGCCAGAAGACCGCGAAGAGCGCUCUCGAGAGGGCGAAAGCGAAAGCGGAACGCUGGGGAGAGAGCGGCGACGCCGCGGCGCGACGCGCGGCGGCGUCCGUCAAGGCGCAGUCGCUCGCGAUGUACGCGGUUCAAGUCACGUGCGGAUACCUCCUCAUGUUGAUCAGCAUGACGUACCACGCGGUGCUGUUCGCGGGCGUCGUCCUCGGCCUCAUCUUGGGCCACGCGCUGUUUAACCUGAGCGUCCCGGUCGGGGCCGCGACCGGCGGCGCGAGCGCGUGCUGCGCGCACGUCGGGACCGUCCCCGGCGGCAGCGACGGCGGCGACGGCGCCGCCGAGGACGCGCCGAGCGAACGCGGCAGCGACGGCGGCGGCAGCGACGGCUGCGGCGACGCGAUGACUCGGCCGAUGAUGCGCGGUUUCCCGGGGAGCGCGGAGUAUCCCACGAGCGUGGUGGACAUCACGCCCGUCGUCGCGUCCGCGUCGCCCGCGGUCGCGUCGCUGCCGCCGCUUCCGGGUCCACGGCGCUCGCCGAAGAACCCCUUUCGAUGAGCUCAUACGAGCGACGGAGGGGAAGAAACGUAAACGAACGUAAACGAACCGAAGAAGUGACACGACACGGUGUUACUCGCGACCGAGUCGCGACCAACCAAGAAGUCUAUCCGAUACCCACAGCGCGUUGUAUUUUAAAGGUAUAACGUCUCACUACGCGCGCGCGCGCUACGCUCGCGCGUCAAUAGUCACGACCAGUCUCGACCGACACCGAGCGCCUACAGUAGCCCUACAUACGUAGUUACGUGACUGUUACGUGAUGUACCUUCGUGGGUACCUUCGUACAUAUCUGUACACGUACACGUACUGUACAGUGUGUGUUUUAAACUUAUUUUCAUUUCCCCCAAUUAUCACUGUUUGCAGAACUGAAGUGGCCAAAAUCGAAAUCGGAUUUGAGAAAAAGCCCAAAAUCCCUUUUCACCGUCCCUUCCAGAUCUGUAGACGACAUCGUGCUCGCGCCCCCCCCGCGCGGGCCAUGGGCGACUUUUCGACCGCGGCGCGAGCACAUACCAGUCCAGAGAUCGUUCCCGACUCGGCGUGGGGCGUGUCGCGAUCAGGGCGGAGCGAAUCGAGCGCGCGCGGGUGCGGAAAGGAGCCGGAAAUCGAUUUCGCGAUCGACCGAAAAUCCCUUCCCGUUCACGCGGGAUGAAAAUCGGUUUCAAUUUUUGGCCACUUCAGUUCUGCAAACAGUGAUAUCGCCUAUUUUUUGGUGUCUAGCAGACUGGAGCGAAGCCCCUGUAUAGACACAAGCUGUACGAACGUACACGUACUGUACUGCUAUCAAACUUGACUGAACUUUUACUGAACUUUUUUGCCUCGCCGAUUUCCCGUGUUUCCCCCGCAAAUUAGGUAUCUUCCUCACUUUUCACCGCCCCCGCCGUCCCCAGGCACGAUGCCCCCGCCGAACGAGAUGAAUGUCUUCCAAAACUGGAGGAACACCCCACGGGCCGCGUCAAAAAGAUACCGCUUGUUUCUGACCUUGUUUUUGACGUUGUUUGCGAUCGCGCCCACGAAUGCCUCUAUGACCUGGACCGAGGACACGUCCGUGGGAGCUUCCGAAACCUGGCGUGGCAUCACCUCCUCGAGCGACGGCACCAAGCUCGCCGCGGUUGUCUAUAACGGAAACAUAUGGACCUCCACUGAUUCUGGAGCGACCUGGACGUCCGUGGGAGCUACGCAAACCUGGGAUUUCAUCACCUCCUCGAGCGACGGCACCAAGCUCGCCGCGACUGUCAAAAGCGGAAAGAUAUGGACCUCCACUGAUUCUGGAGCAACGUGGACCUCUCGGGCAACUACGCAAAACUGGCAUGGCAUCACCUCCUCGAGCGACGGCACCAAGCUCGCCGCGGUUGUCUAUAACGGAAACAUAUGGGCCUCCACUAAUUCUGGAGCAACAUGGACCUCUCGGGCAACUACGAAAGCCUGGAGUUCCAUCACCUCCUCGAGCGACGGCACCAAGCUCGCCGCGGUUGUCGAUGGCGGAAAGAUAUGGACCUCCACUGAUUCUGGAGCAACAUGGACCUCUCGGGCAACUACGAAAGCCUGGAGUUCCAUCACCUCCUCGAGCGACGGCACCAAGCUCGCCGCGGUUGUCGAUGGCGGAAAGAUAUGGACCUCCACUGAUUCUGGAGCGACCUGGACCGAGGACACGUCCACGGGAGCUACGAAAAGCUGGUAUGACAUCACCUCCUCGAGCGACGGCACCAAGCUCGCCGCGGUUGUCGAUGGCGGAAAGAUAUGGACCUCCACUGAUUCUGGAGCGACCUGGACCGAGGACACGUCCACGGGAGCUACGAAACGCUGGUGGGCCAUCACCUCCUCGUGCGACGGCACCAAGCUCGCCGCGGUUGUCUAUAACGGAAAGAUAUGGACCUCCGGUUCUGAUGGCACGGAUUCGUGCUCGUCAACAUCAUCGGGGCUUACAUCUGUUGUGAUCGCAGCUGUUGUUGUCGUCGUUGGCGUCGCUGGCGGCGUCGCUGGCGCCGUGGCCCUUACCAAGUCCAAAACUGCGGCUGCGUUAAGCAUCAAUUCGGUGUGAAAAUCAGUCAUAAAAGGGGUUGCGUUUUCACGAGGUUUGCCCCCAUACAUAAGCAGUAUGAAGGCCGUUUUAGCGUCUUUGCGGGUCAUUCCCGUCUCUGCGAGACAGGCUUCACGCUCGGCGACAUACCUCCCUAGGUGAGGGCAGGUGAGACCUUCCCUCUCAAAGAGUUGGCUGAGGAUUGUGGGGUGGGCAUUCACCAUAUCCACAUCGGUGUAGGUGUCGUGCGAGAGGGCUUUUCGCACAUCUCCCUUAAGGUUCUGGAGGGACACCGCACCCCGCUUGGGGUACAGCCGACCCGCCUGUUCGCCGUCCUUGGAGAGACAGAAAUGUAUCUCGUGCUGGUUCGUAUUCUUCAAGCGUCGCUUCAUCUUCUUCAGUUCCGUGAGCGUGUCGUGGUCGGUCUUCUUAGCCUUCAAGAUGCGGUUCAGGUUCUUCGUGUUGAUAAUUUCUCGGCAGGUGUAGGUCGUCGUCAUUUUUGUAUUUAUAUCGCCUAACCUUUAAUAAGCUCACUUACUGUACGUGUACGUGUACGUGUACACGUAGGUGUGAAAAUUAAGCUAGACCACCGGAAAUUUAUUUAGUGAGUAUUUUAUUGAGUAUAAAUUCGUGUACUGUAUGUAUCCAAAAAGUGUAAAUAAAUGAGUAUUUGAUGAAUAAGUUGUAACUUACCGCCAAAAAAAAAGGUACCUUCUAAAUAAAUAAGUAGGGCCUACUCAAAAAAAUUCUUCUAUACACCCGAGAAUGAGGCUGAUGAGAUUGUGUGUUUAAAGGAGAUUUAACUCGGAUUUGCUUUCAAAAUAGGUGCUCCCCUUUCAAGUGAAUUUAAGAGAGUAUGUACUAUGUAGCAAUGUACUUUCGUACUUUCGUACGAAAGUACUACACAUACGUUGUGCACGUACAGUAUGGCAUACUGUAACGCGUUGUACGUGUACGUACACGUACGUGUACGUUGUUUAUUAAGCAGCCUUUCCGGCCAAAUGUGACGUAUUCGGGCACGGCUGUACAGUACACGUACACUACACGUACACAGGACACGUACACUACGUGUAGUACUUCCCGGCCGAUGUUGAAACCACGCGCGGCGAAGUUCGCGUUCGACGAACGAACGCUCGUCUCGCGGGCAGAGUAGAUCCGACGGCGCCUCCCCCGCGCGCUCGUCCUCGGUCCGAGAACAGAAGACGCGUCGCGCGCGGAUUCGAUCACGUACGCUCGCGUCGCCUUCGCCUUCGCCGCGCGGCGGAUCGCGUCGACCGCCACGUCGAUCCCGACCGCGCGUCUCGUCUCGCCGUCGCGCGCGCAAAGUCGCGUCCGCCUCGCGCGCGUGCGCGUCGACGCGCGUCCGCCGCCGCUCCCCCGCGCCGCGCGGCUCGUCUCCUCCGCCUCUUUGACGAUGCCCCCGCGCGACGCGAGCGGCGACCCCGCGGGCGACGACCACGGCGACGCGACGCCGCCGCCGCCCGAGGACGUCUUCCUCGAGGACCUGCGAAGCGAGCGGUCGAUGCGUUGGGUCGAAUCGGAGAACGCGCGCGCGCUGCGCGCGAUCGUCGGCCCCGACCGCGCGAUCGAGGACGACCCGAUGUUCGCCGCGCUGAGGGCCAUCUACGACGACAAGAAGAAGAUCCCGAACGUCCGCGCGCGCGGCGACCUCGUAUAUAACUUUUGGCAAGAUCAAGACCACCUCAAAGGGAUCUGGCGACGCACCACCAUGACGGAGUUCGCGAAGGAGGACCCCGCGUGGGAGACCGUGCUCGACGUGGACGCGCUCGCAGAGAAAGAGGGCCGGUCUUGGGUGUGGAAAGGGCCGUCGUUCUUGGACUACGGCCCGGGGCAAGAGCGACGCGUCGACCGCUGCGUCGUGAAGCUCAGGUGCGCGCCGCGCGCGCGUUUACGUUUUCUGCUUUCCAGUACAACCGCAACCCCUCGGUUCUAUCGGUUUCAACUUUUUGUAGUGUACAGUACUGUAGCCCUACAGGGCACGUACAUUUGAUCGCGUCACCGCCUUUCAACUGACCGAUACCGUACGUACACUUUUUUCGUAACAACGAACGCGUCAGCGACGGCGGCGGCGACGCGUGCGUCACGCGAGAGUUCGACGUCGUCGAGAAGCGUUUCGUCUCUCCCGAGGUGCGCGCGCGGGUGGACGCGCGGCGGGCGGGCGCGAACCUCGACCACCGCGCGACGCGCCGCCCACGUCGCGUCGUCUAACUAGCAUCCCUCCGACCGCGCUCGCGAUCUCGUCGCGAAUCGAAUCGAUUCGAAUCGAAUCAACCCGACCAACCAAACCGACCGACCGAUCGUUCGUUCGUUCCCUCUCGCGGCCGCAGGACGAAGACGCGUUCGUCUUACCCGAGGGAAAGAACAACUUCUGCUGGGUCGACCGCGACGUCGCGUGGGUCGGCGUCGACCGCGGGGAAGGGACGGUGUCCCCGAGCGGCUACCCGCUCACGAUCGCAGAGUGGCGGCGAGGGACGAAGCUCGAAGACGCGAGGGAGAUUUGGCGCGGCGAACCGAAAGACGUCGUCGCCGCGGGGAUGGCGUACUGGGACAAGGGGACGCGGUAUAAGGCGCGCGCCGUCGCCGUUUUGUUUCUGUCUCUGUUUCUGUUACUGUUUCUGUUUCUGUAUCUCUCUCGCGCCCGUCCCCGCGCGCGUUUCUCUCCACCCGCCGCUCGGUCCCGACGGAUCCCGACGCGCCUCGACGCGCCUCGACGCCUCGUGACUGACUCGCGUUCGACUGACGCCUCUCGACUCCGCGCCCGCGAAGAUCUGGUACCGCGCGGCGACGUUCUACGACACCGUGCACUACGCGGAGGACGACGUCACCGGGGAGAUGGUGAAGGUGGACGUUCCGAGCGAUUUUUCCUUCAGCACGUUCGCGGACCACGUCGUGAUUCACUGCAAGUCGCGCUGGGGACCGGGCGGAUCGCUUCCGGAGGGCGUGUCGUACGCGAGCGGCACCGUCCUCGCGCAUCCCGCGGCGGCGUUCGUGCGAGGCGAACGCGACGCGUUCACGGUGCUGUACGCGCCCGCGAACGACCGAUGCGCGUACGGCAGGUGCUCGGAGACGAGAGACUACCUUCUCGUGCACGCGCUCGAGAACAUGGUCACGAAGGUGUACGUGUUUGAAUACAAACGCGCCGCGAACGCCGCGAAGGGAGAGGGAGGAGAGACCGCGUCGUCGCGAUUCUCGCUCGUGAAGGAAUACGUCGCCCCGGACUGCCAGUCCUUCAGCGCGUCCGGGGUGGACUCGAACUUCACGAACGACCUCUUCGUCACGACGGACGGGUUCCUCACCCCGGUGACGCUCUCUCUCGCCUCGGCGCCGAACCUGGAAGACGCGACGCCGUUGAAGAAGAACACGUCGCACUUCGACGCGUCCGGGAUGUCCGUCGAGCUCUCGCACGCGACGAGCGACGACGGCACGGAGGUGCCGUACUUUCUCGUCCGCGGCGCCGGGACCGUCGCGGGGACGCCCGCGCCCACGGUGAUGUACGGCUACGGCGGAUUCGAGAUUCCCAUGCUCCCCGGAUACGGUGCCACGACGGGAUACGCGUUGUUAUCGAACGGCUUCAACUACGUCUUGACCUGCAUCCGCGGCGGCGGCGAAUUCGGCCCGGAGUGGCACCGCGCGGCGAAGAAGUCCAAACGCUGGCGCGCGUUCGAGGACUUUUCCUCCGUCGCGAAGGACCUGUGCCAGAGAAACGUGACGACGGCGAACGCGCUCGCGUGCGUCGGCGGCAGCAACGGCGGUUUACUCGCCGGCGCGAUGACGACGUUUUACCCGCAUCUCUUCGGCGCGGUCGUCUCGCAGUGCCCGCUGUUGGACAUGGAACGCUACGUGCUGCUCACGUCCGGGCCGUCGUGGAUCGACGAGUACGGCGACCCGAACGACGCGGCGGAGCGCGAGUUUCUCCUCGAGUACUCGCCCUACCACAACCUCGAGAAGGGCGUCGAGGACGCGAUUCGCAAGCGAGGCGCGCGCGAGGCGGACGCCAACGUCGGCGAGCAUCUCCCCGCGACGCUCUUCACGACGUCCACCGCGGACGACCGCGUGCACCCGUCGCACGCGAGACGCUUCGUGCACAAGUGCAGCGCGUUGGGGAUCGGGAAGGACGUGUUGUACCACGAGAUGAUAGAAGGCGGGCACGCGGGGGCAGCGGACAACGCCGCGAGGGCGGCGGUGAAGACGCUCGAGAAUAGGUUCUUGAUCGACACGCUUCGACGCGGGACGCGAUCGGUGGAGUGAGGCGGCGAGAGGGGCGGCGGCGGCGGGGGGUGGCGGGGGACGAGAAGAAAACGAACCCGAGUUUUUUUGACGCGCGCGCGCGACGGACGAACGAGUGAGUCGGACGCGCACGUUUGGUUUGGCCCGCGCGACGACCGACUGGAGGUGUAACGAUGAAUGGUGAACGCGUCACGAACGAUCCGCUACGCGCGCGCGCCGAGAUUCAGCGCCUCGUCCACGGCGACGGGGUCUAACCCCGCGCCCGUGGCGGCGGCGCGCAACGUCUCCGCGUGCGCCGUCGUCACGACGCCCUCGCGCGCGAAGCGUUUCAGGUGUUCCGUCGCGCGCUCGCGAUGCGACGCGCUCAGCUGAUGUGGGGGGAACGAAACGAAACGAAAAGAAACGAAACGAAACGAAACGCGCGGGUCGGGUCAGUUAUCAGUCAGUCACGCGUCUCGCCGGCGGACCGGACCGGACCGGCGUCGAGAGGAAAGAGAGAGCGACGGUUUCGGCGAAGAGAAACCGAAAGAAAACCCGCGGGGAUCGCGAGGAGAGAACAGAACGUCCUCGAGCGACGACGCGCGGGAAGUGGUCUCGUCUCGCACCGUGACGCCGUCCAUCCUGGCCACGCCCCACACGCCGUGCACGAGCGCCUGCGGCUCCAGAGCCUCUGCGCCGCCCGCGCCGCCGUCGCAAUCGCCGUCGCUGUCGCCGUCGUCGUCGCACAAGAGACGUUCCACGAGCGCGUUCGCGUCGCCCGGUCGCGGCGUCACCUCGAGCUUUCCGCACGCCCACAGGACGCCCGCGGCGCCGGCUCUCCCGAUGCCGCCGCCGCGACUUCUCUUCGUCGUCGUCUUCUUCCCCGGUCUCUUCUUGCCCCCGUCCCCGCGAGCGACGGUCUCGUCCCCCCCGCGACCCCGCGCGGCGGCGGCGGCGGCGGCGGCGCCGCCGGUCCCGGUCCCCGUCUGAUCCGCCGCGCGUCUCGCCGCCUCCGCGAGGAGCGUCUGAAACGCCCCGCCGUUCGCGUCCGCGGCGUUUCCCUUCACGCCCACCGCCUUCGGGGUCGGGCGAAGCGAUGCGCGGGGCGGGCGAACGCGUCGGUCAGUCGCGCGUCUCGCCGGUCGAGACGUUCAACGAGCGUCGAGUUGAAAGUAAAAAAAAACGCCGGGCUGGGCGGGAGACGAGACGAGACGAGACGAGAAGCGAAGCGAGAGCGAGAGCGCGAGCGAGAGCGCGAGCGACAGCGAGAGCGACAGCGAGAGCGCGAGCGAGAGCGCGAGCGAGAGCGCGAGCGAGAACGCGAGCGACAGCGCGAGCGACAGCGAGAGCGACAGCGCGAGCGAGGCCGGUUCGGCGUCUCACCCAGAGCGUCCGCGUCAGCGCGACGUCGUCCAGCCCCUCCGCGUCCGACGCCGCGCGGUCGAUGAUGACCCGCACCACCCUCGGCGGCAGCGUCGCGUCCAACAUCGCGAGGCUCCACGCGAGGUUCGCGCACUGAUACGGCGUGUACUCGAGCGCGCGCUUCACGGCGACGGGCGCGAGCGACGCGACGAGCCCCUCGCUCCCCGGGCACCCUCCGACGCACCCGCGAUGCCACCGCGCGUACGCCCAGAGCAGGUUCACGACGUCGGGCGGGCGGAAGCUCGCGGCGACCUCGCCCGCGCGAUCGCCGACGGCGGCGAGCAGGCGGCUCCUGGGCUCGUGGCCGAGCACCGCCAGCGCCCACAUCACCGUGGACAGGUGCCUCGGCUCCGCGUCCGCGCACUGGUCCACCGCGCGCGACGCCAGCGUGGACACCGUCGCGUCCGACGGUCGCAGCCUCAACCGCGCGAACGCCCAGAGCGUGUUGGAGAUGGACACGAUCUCCAUCUCGUGCGCGCUCCGCUCGACCAUCGCGAGCAGCGCGCGAAACCGUUCGUCGUGCGCGACGGCGGCGACGUCCGGUCUCGGCGACCCCGCCGCCGCGGGCGUCGUGCACAGCCGCGCCACUCGGUGCAACGCCGUGCUGCAGUUGACCUUGUUGAACACGUCCCCGAGCUCCUCGACGGCGAGGAGCACGUCCUCGACGUCGCUCGCGUCCAUGAGGUCGCCCUGAAGAUCCUUCGCGCGGUCCAACGCGCGAACGCUCAUCGCCGCCGCCGCUCGGAGCUCGCUCGAGAGUUGAAGCUUGUGAUACGCCCACUUGCGGUUCUCGAGUCCGCCGCGAUCUAGCGCGCCGUGCGUCGCCUCCACCGCGGACACAAUCUGCGACGACGACGCGAGAGGGGACGGGGAGGGUGGGCGGGGCGGGGCGGGGCGGGGCCGUCGGUCGGUCGAAAGGUUGGGCGCGGGGGGGAGAGGGGGGGAGGGGGCGUCGCGAUUCGAUCGAGAGAACCGAACAAAGUCCUUAAGGAACGGCGUUCACCACGCCAACGCGGUCGUAUGGGGACCGGUGUGAGCGCGCGUCGAAACCGGGGAGACCGAGGGGAAACGCGACGCGACGCGACGCGACGCUCGGGCGCGCGGCGCGGCGCGAGAGCGACCAGACCAGACCAGACCAGACCAGACCGCCUCGGAGGGGAGGACGUCCGAGGGAGGGCGGGCGGGAGGUCGUCGCGUCGCGUCGCGUCGCGUCGAGCGCGCGGCGGGGGGGAGGGGGUGGGGGCGACGACGGGACGCGCCUCGGCGAAGCGCGCGUCCGCGAUGACGAACGCCGCCUCUUUCCUUCGCACGCGUCCCGCGCGCGACGUCAGCGCGCGCGCGAUUCGAUACAGCGCGGUCACCGCGUUGAUCGCGCUGAAGUCGCGCGCGCUCUCGCCCGCGACGGCCAGCACCGCGUUCGCGUCCUCGCAGGACAGGAUGCGCUCUUGGAUGGCGCGCUGCGCGUUCUUCGCCGCGCGCGCGCGGCCUCUGAACACGGAGGUCUGCGACGCGAUCGAUUCGGGGAGAUUCGGGGCGGGGGAAGAGAGGGCGGGUCGCGACGGGCGUCGUCAGCGCGCGCGGGCGAGGGACGCGCGACUCGACUCGCGGCGAGCGGGCCGGGCGGCGGAGGAUGGAAAAAGCGCCCGCCGACCCCGCCGACGAUUUGCGCGCGCGCUCGCGCGCGAGCGAACGAAUUCCCGACCGCGACGCGACGCGCGCGGCGACGGCGACGGCGAUGACGCACCUCGUCUUCGCGGCUGCCUUUCUCCCCGCCCGCGAUCGCGUUCGCGGCGACGCGGACGGUGACCGCCGCGCGUUCUCGGCCGUCCGCGCGCGACGUCGCGAGCGGACGAUUGCCGCGAAGACGCGGGACGACGGACGUGGCGGCGGCGAGCGCGUCGUCGCGCGCGCGCCUCGUCGAGAGCGCGGCGUGGCGAGGCGCGACGCGUCUGAUGUCCCGGGGGCUCCACGCAAACGCCCCCGCGCGCGUCGUCGUCGCCAUUAUGAGAAGUAGCGCCGGCGUCGCUCGCGCGCGCCGCGUGUGCGCGUCCGCGUCGUCGUCGCCGAUUCUCCUCGGCGAGAGGACUUUUCGCGAGGCGGCCGCCGGAAGUACCGUACUUCCGUACCUACUACACGUACAGGUAGUGUAGAAAGUACGAAGAAUAUCUAUCUUCGUACGAAGGUACGAAAGUACUUUCGUACGAAAGUAGUUGUACUUUCGUAGGGCUACAACGUUGUACUUUCGAAAGUACUUUCGUACUUUCGUAUCUAUUUUCGAAAGUACGAGUACUUUCGUACAACGUUGUACUUUCGUACUUCGUACUAAAGUACGAAAGUACUUUCGUAUCUAUUUUCGUAGUUGUACAACGUGUCUUGCGCCGCGCGCUCUCGCUCGACCAUUCGCCGUCGCGCCGGCGGCUCAAAAGCGCGGCGACGCGUCGUCGGCAUCGUCCUCGCGCCUCGGCGACGUCCGCCUCCGACGCGGCGUCCCGACGGAUGUCCCGACCGCGGAGACGGCGACGUCCUCCCCGGGGUGCACGCGCACGCGUCCGAGGCCGAUAUACCUCAUGAAACCCUCGACCACCGGACCCGGACCCGGACCCCCGGACGCGGGCGCGGGCACGUCGGUCGUCUCCUCCGCGACCUCCUCCUCCUCCUCCUUCGCGUCCGCGGCGAUAUCCUCCGCGUUCGCGGCGUCCACGUCGAUCCCUAGAUCGCUCGCCGCGGGAUCGAGAGUCCCGCCCGCUGGCGCGGUGGCCCCGGAGGAGGCGGCGGCGGCGACUUUCCUUCGCGCCAGUCGUCCGCGUUGCACCGCUUGUAUCUUCACCGCCGCCGCCUCUCGCUUCUCCGACAACUGCUGUUGCUGCGCCAAGAGCUGCGCGCGAAGGGCUUUCAUCUCAAGUUUGAACGAAGGCUCCGUCGUCGCUUUGUUCGCGUCGAUCGGGACGGGAUCAUCGCCGUCCCCGUCCGGAGGCGCGAUGCCUUCGAAAUCGUCCGCGCCGCCGCCCGGGGCGACUUUGCCGCCCUUCUUGGUCCUGACUUUCCCCAGUAUCCGAGAGAUUUGUCUCCGCACGCGCACGUUCUCGGCGGCGUAGAGCUCCUUCCCGCCUUGUAUCAUCGCGAGCACCAGCGCUCCGAAGAUGAUCAAGAUGAACGCGAGUCCGCUCCAGCCGUUGUAAUCGCGCACGAACAACGCGUACAACACGAUCCAAAUCGAGAGCAGGACGUAAAACUGCAGGCGGUCUUUGUGAAUGUCCACGUACGGCUGGAAGUACGAGUGCGACGCGAUGGAUAACGUCGAGAUCGCGACCGCGUACGGGAGCUGAAACCCGGGAAAUAUCAUCUUGACGAUCGUCACGAAAGACGUCUGAAUGACCUUUCGCGAGAUCUCCACGGUUUGCCAGUAAUAAAACUGGUCCUCGUACGCGUCGUAGAACAUCCCGAACACGCCGUCCACCGCGGGGGUGGCUAGACGGUUUUCCGGAACCAUUUCUGCGCUCCCGCCGCCGUCGUUCGUGGACUUCCGCAUGAUGGGCUCCACGAGGACAGGCCUCGCCGACGCUUCGAAUAUCGACAACAACGACUUCUUCAGCGGUCGAAUUUGAUUCCGUCCGUGCGCGUCCUUCUCGAUCCGUGACGCCUUGACGAACACCAUCCCGGCCGCCGCGCGUUCUUUCCUCGCCGCGGCGUAGUGAAACAUCUCAAAAAACCCGCCGUGUUCUCUAAGGGAUAUCGCGAUAUCCGUCGAGUCGCCUUGCCCGUCCAGAAUGCGGACUUUGAUCGAGUUCUUGAACGUGUACAGGCUGUACGCGAUGAAAAUCGGAAACCCAAACACGAAACACGCGAUCAUCGCGAACACAAAGAUCAAGUUUCGGUUGUAUUCGGGCGUGAAGCACUCCACGGUCAUGUCCAUGUUCAGCCAAUGUCGCGGCGACGCGUCCGGCGGUCCGUGAACUUCGACGCAAUCGAACGCCUUGAAGAGCACUGUCGCCGUGGACGGGUGAAUAAACGAGAUCACGAACCCGAACACCGCGUACAGCGUGAGCUGAAACGAUUGCAUCUCCGUGAAGCAGUCGUCCUCGGCGUCCGCCUUCUCGUCGUCCGACGCGCCGAUCUCGAUCAGGUGUUUACGCACUCUCCUGAUCUUAAGCUUGCACUUGAUCGAACUGUACUUCGACGCGAUGGAGACCCCCAGCAAGAGCAGAAUCGGGAAUAACAUCGUCACGUACAUGUACCACCAGUACGUAAGGUCGCAUACGUGCAUUCAUCAAAGCCAGGUGAGUCAUCGACAAAUAUACGUUUGUGUCAUGGAUGACGAGAACGUCCGUGUCAGAGCGUCUGUGUCAUUCGAUAUGUGAAGAAACCGACGGAAGAGUGGCUCCAGGCAUGCCCAAGGGUUUCAAGCUGCACGACCUCGACAUGAGCCCGAGCGUUCCCAAACUCAUCGCGAUGAAGAGCCCCCCGGUGGAUUGGGUGCAAGGCCGCGCCGAUCGUCGAUCGUCGAACGCGAAGGCGAAGGCGCACGCGAAGGCCGAGCAGGCGCCAGAUUGAGAGAGAAAAGAGAGCUGUAGAAGAACAACACACGACACACCGCGACAGCGUCGCGAUAUCGUCCGACGGAACAGACUGACUGGUACUGUAUUGUAAUGGAACGAACGAAUACACAGGGGAUGAAAGAGGGGAAACAGGCGGGAGAACCAGAUAGGCCCCACCAGUACCCGAACAUCGACGACCCGUCGCCAUCCGUGGACGUCUCGGUGUACGAAAACUCGUCGACCAUGCACUUGAACGACACCAACGCCACGAUGUCGACGUUGAGGUAACUCAGUCCGUCCGUGACGUGUUUCAGCGCGGAAGGAGACAGACUGUCGUCCGCCAUCGUUCCCAUCUGACCCAUGAUUUGAAUCCACCCGGUGAGGAUGGAGAUGACCGCUCUCGAUUUUUUCGCGUCGCGGAGCUCUUGCUCCAUCUCGAUUCGCUUCCGCUCGCGCAGGUCGCGUUCUUCCGGGGUCAAGAUCGUGAUCUUCGCCGCGGAGUUUUUGUCCCCGCCCGCUCCCGCGCCGGGGAGCUUCUCCUCGUCCACGCCGGUAUCGUUGAACGGAUCGUUCAUGGAUUUGAUCCCGAACGUCUUGUAUAAGAACCGAAAGAGCAACGACAAGAUGAACAACCCGAGGACGGAGAAGAUCAUAAACCGCGCGACGAUGCCCGCCCGGGAAGGGCACCGCACGCACUCUCCCGUGCCGGUAUCGACGUUGUAGAACCUCGCGCACUUCGAGACGACUCCUCCCCCGCAAAAAACCGCGGUCGAGAGGUACCCUUCCUUACAGAACGUCAUCUGCGAGACCGAACCCGGACUCGAGCCGUUUCUCCACGAACCCUGCACCCACGAGCUCUGGGUGCCAACGUGCACGCCCGUCGUGCACGCGUCCGCUCGUCCGCAGGCGUAAAUUCGCGAGCUGAAGCAUUCGAACGAAGUGCAGUUGGCUGCUCCUGGGGAAACCCAGUAGCCGUCCUCGAUCUCGUAUUCCGCCCCGCCGAAACAUACUAGGCCCUUCUUGAGUAGGCAACUAUCGCAGAAUUUCGCUUGCGGGUCAAAGUUGAUGAAGCCCUUCACGCAUAUCUUACAAGUUAAGCCACCUUGGUCGUAAUAAGAGCCGUAUUUGCAAGGCAACGAUUCGAUAGGUCUAUCGACCGUUUCUUUGACGGUAUAGGUCGUCGUGUUCGGACUGUAACGUAAGUAGGUUCCCGUGGCGACCAGUGUAAACAUGCCCGAGAUGCCCA
rnacentral:lncRNA from 1 species